ACCUGGGUGGCUUAGUCGGUUAAGCGCCUGACUUUGGCUCAGGUCAUGAUCUCACGGUUUGUGAGUUUGAGCCCCACGUA
rnacentral:tRNA from 1 species